GAUGAACGCUGGCGGCGUGCUUAACACAUGCAAGUCGAACGAGAAGUGGAGACGGAAACCUUCGGGCGGAAGACUUUACUUCGAGUGGCGGACGGGUGAGUAACGCGUGGGUAACCUGCCUCAUACAGGGGGAUAACAGUUGGAAACGACUGUUAAUACCGCAUAAGACCACAGCACCGCAUGGUGCGGGGGUAAAAACUCCGGUGGUAUGAGAUGGACCCGCGUUCGAUUAACCAGUUGGCGGGGUAACGGCCCACCAAAGCGACGAUCGAUAGCCGAUCUGAGAGGAUGACCGGCCACAUUGGGACUGAGACACGGCCCAAACUCCUACGGGAGGCAGCAGUGGGGAAUAUUGCACAAUGGGGGAAACCCUGAUGCAGCGACGCCGCGUGAGUGAAGAAGUAUUUCGGUAUGUAAAGCUCUAUCAGCAGGGAAGAAAAUGACAGUACCUGAGUAAGAAGCCCCGGCUAACUACGUG
rnacentral:rRNA from 1 species